rnacentral:rRNA from 1 species
GGCGGCAUGCUUAACACAUGCAAGUCGCACGAAUUCCUUCGGGGGUUAGUGGCGGACGGGUGAGUAUCGCGUAGGGAUUUGUCGUUGGGUGGGGGAUAACCUUGGGAAACUGGGGCUAAUACCGCAUGACGCCUGAGGGCCAAAGUUUCGGCGCCUGACGAGAAGCCUGCGUCCGAUUAGGUAGUUGGUUGGGUAAUGGCUGACCAAGCCUGCGAUCGGUAGCUGGUCUGAGAGGAUGAUCAGCCACACUGGGACUGAGACACGGCCCAGACUCCUACGGGAGGCAGCAGUGGGGAAUAUUGGACAAUGGGCGCAAGCCUGAUCCAGCAAUGCCGCGUGGAUGAAGAAGGUUUUCGGAUUGCAAAGUCCUUUCGGCGGGGACGAUGAUGACGGUACCCGCAGAAGAAGCCCCGGCUAACUUCGUGCCAGCAGCCGCGGUAAUAC